AGUUGCAAGGUAUAGACCCGAAACCCGGUGAUCUAGCCAUGGGCAGGUUGAAGGUUGGGUAACACUAACUGGAGGACCGAACCGACUAAUGUUGAAAAAUUAGCGGAUGACUUGUGGCUGGGGGUGAAAGGCCAAUCAAACCGGGAGAUAGCUGGUUCUCCCCGAAAUCUAUUUAGGUAGAGCCUUAUGUGAAUACCUUCGGGGGUAGAGCACUGUUUCGGCUAGGGGUCCAUCCCGGAUUACCAACCCGAUGCAAACUGCGAAUACCGAAGAGUAAUGCAUAGGAGACACAC
rnacentral:rRNA from 1 species